ensembl:lncRNA
GCAUCUCACUGUCGUAGACUGCAUCUCACUGUAGUAGACUGUAGGCUGCAUCUCACUGUAGUAGACUGUAGGCUGCAUCUCACUGUAGUAGACUGUAGACUGUAUCUCACUGUAGUAGACUGUAUCUCACUGUAGUAGACUGCAUCUCACUGUAGUAGACUGUAGACUGCAUCUCACUGUAGUAGACUGUAGACUGCAUCUCACUGUAGUAGACUGUAGACUGCAUCUCACUGUAGUAGACUGUAGACUGCAUCUCACUGUAGUAGACUGUAGACUGCAUCUCACUGUAGUAGACUGUAGACUGCAUCUCACUGUAGUAGAUUGCAUCUCACUGUAGUAGACUGUAGACUGCAUCUCACUGUAGUAGACUGUAGACUGCAUCUCACUGUAGUAGACUGUAGACUGCAUCUCACUGUAGUAGACUGCAUAUCACUGUAGUAGACUGCAUCUCACUGUAGUAGACUGUAGACAGCAUCUCACUGUAGUAGACUGUAGACUGCAUCUCACUGUAGUAGAUUGCAUCUCACUGUAGUAGACUGUAGACUGUAUCUCACUGUAGUAGACUGCAUCUCACUGUAGUAGGCUGCAUAUCACUGUAGUAGACUGCAUCUCACUGUAGUAGACUGUAGACAGCAUCUCACUGUAGUAGACUGUAGACUGCAUCUCACUGUAGUAGACUGUAGACUGCAUCUCACUGUAGUAGACUGCAUCUCACUGUAGUAGACUGCAUCUCACUGUAUCUCACUGUAGUGGACUGUAGGCUUCAUCUCACUCUAGUAGACUGUAGAAGGCAUCUCACUGUAGUAGACUGCAUCUCACUGUAGUAGACUGUAGACUGCAUCUCACUGUAGUAGACUGCAUCUCACUGUAGUAGACUGCAUCUCACUGUAGUAGACUGCAUCUCACUGUAGUAGACUGUAGACUGCAUCUCACUGUAGUAGACUGUAGACUGCAUCUCACUGUAGUAGACUGUAGACUGCAUCUCACUGUAGUAGACUGUAGACUGCAUCUCACUGUAGUAGACUGUAGACUGCAUCUCACUGUAGUAGACUGUAGACUGCAUCACAGAGACUCUCAGUUACAUACAUGAUGUUACAUUCUACCACAGUUACAUACAUGAUGUGAUGUUACAUACAUGAUGUUACAUACUACUACAGUUACAUACAUGAUGUGAUGUUACAUACUACCACAGUUACAUACAUGAUGUGAUGUUACAUUCUACCACAGUUACAUACAUCAUGUUACAUUCUACCACAGUUACAUACAUGAUGUGAUGUUACAUACAUGAUGUUACAUACUACUACAGUUACAUACAUGAUGUUACAUACUACCACAGUUACAUACAGGAUGUAAUGUUACAAACAGGAUGUGCUGUUACAUACUACUACAGUUACAUACAUGAUGUUACAUUCUACCACAGUUACAUACAUGUUACAUACUACUACAGUUACAUACAUCAUGUUACAUACUACCACAGUUACAUACAUGAUGUGAUGUUACAUACUACCACAGUUACAUACAUGAUGUGAUGUUACAUGCUACCACAGUUACAUACAUGAUGUUACAUUCUACCACAGUUACAUACAUCAUGUUACAUUCUACCACAGUUACAUACAGGAUGUAAUGUUACAAACAGGAUGUGAUGUUACAUACUACUACAGUUACAUACAUGAUGUUACAUACUACUACAGUUACAUACAUGAUGUGAUGUUACAUACAUGAUGUUACAUACUACCACAGUUACAUGUUACAUACUACUACAGUUACAUACAUGUUACAUACUACCACAGUUACAUACAUGUUACAUACUACUACAGUUACAUACAUGAUGUGAUGUUACAUACUACCACAGUUACAUACAUGAUGUGAUGUUACAUACUACUACAGUUACAUACAUGUUGUGAUGUUACAUACUACUACAGUUACAUACAUGUUGUGAUGUUACAUACUACUACAGUUACAUACAUGUUGUGAUGUUACAUACUACUACAGUUACAUACAUGUUGUGAUGUUACAUACUACAACAGUUACAUACAUGUUGUGAUGUUACAUACUAUUACAGUUACAUACAUGAUGUUAAAUACUACUACAGUUACAUAUGUGAUGUUACAUUCUACGACAGUUACAUACAUGUUACAUACUACUACAGUUACAUACAUGUUACAUUCUACUACAGUUACAUGCAUGAUGUUACAUUCUACUACAGUUACAUACGUGAUGUUACAUACUACUACAGUUACAUACAUUAUGUGAUGUUACAUACUACUACAGUUACAUACAUGUUACAUUCAUGAUGUUACAUAUUACUACAUUUACAUAUUACUGCAGUUACAUACAUGAUGUUGCAUACUACUACAGUUACAUACAUUAUGUGAUGUUACAUACUACCACAGUUAUAUACAUGAUGUGAUGUUACAUACUACUACAGUUACAUAUGUGAUGUUGCAUACUACUAGUUACAUACAUUAUGUGAUGUUACAUACUACCACAGUUAUAUACAUGAUGUGAUGUUACAUACUACUACAGUUACAUAUGUGAUGUUACAUACUACCACAGUUACAUACAUGUUGUGAUGUUACAUACUACUACAGUUACAUACAUGUUGUGAUGUUACAUACUACUACAGUUACAUACAUGUUGUGAUGUUACAUACUACAACAGUUACAUACAUGUUGUGAUGUUACAUACUACUACAGUUACAUACAUGAUGUUACAUUCUACUACAGUUACAUACAUGUUACAUACUACUACAAUUACAUACAUGAUGUGAUGUUACAUACUACUACAGUUACAUACAUGAUGUUACAUACUACUACAGUUACAUAUGUGAUGUUACAUACUACUACAGUUACAUACAUGAUGUUACAUACUACUACAGUUACAUACAUGUUACAUACUACUACAGUUACGUACAUGUUACAUACUACUACAGUUACGUACAUGUUACAUACUACUACAGUUACAUACAUGAUGUUACAUACUACUACAGUUACAUAUGUGAUGUUACAUUCUACUACAGUUACAUACAUGUUACAUACUACUACAGUUACGUACAUGUUACAUACUACUACAGUUACGUAGAUGUUACAUACUACUACAGUUACAUACAUGAUGUUACAUACUACUACAGUUACAUAUGUGAUGUUACAUACUACUACAGUUACAUAUGUGAUGUUACAUACUACUACAGUUACAUACAUGUUACAUACUACUACAGUUACAUGCAUGAUGUUACAUACUACUACAGUUACAUACAUUAUGUGAUGUUACAUACUACUACAGUUACAUACAUGAUGUUACAUACUACUACAGUUACAUACGUGAUGUUACAUACUACUACAGUUACAUACGUGAUGUUACAUACAUGUUACAUACUACUACAGUUACAUACAUGUUACAUACUACUACAGUUACAUGCAUGAUGUUACAUACGUGAUGUUACAUACUACUACAGUUACAUACAUUAUGUGAUGUUACAUACUACUACAGUUACAUACAUGAUGUUACAUACUACUACAGUUACAUACGUGAUGUUACAUACUACUACAGUUACAUACGUGAUGUUACAUACAUGUUACAUACUACUACAGUUACAUACAUGCUGCUACAUACAUGAUGUGAUGUUACAUACUACUACAGUUGCAUACAUAAUGUUACAUACAUGUUACAUACUACUAAAGUUACAUACAUGUUACAUACUAUUACAGUUACAUACAUAAUGUUACAUACUACUAAAGUUGCAUACAUGUUACAUACUACUACAGUUACAUACAUGAUGUGAUGUUACAUACUACUACAGUUACAUACAUGUGAUGUUACAUACAUGAUGUGAUGUUACAUACAUGUUGUGAUGUUACAUACUACUACAGUUACAUACAUGAUGUGAUGUUACAUACUACUACAGUUACAUACAUGUUGUGAUGUUACAUACAUGAUGUGAUGUUACAUACAUGUUGUGAUGUUACAUACUACUACAGUUACAUACAUGAUGUGAUGUUACAUACUACGACAGUUACAUACAUGUUGUGAUGUUACAUACUACUACAGUUACAUACAUGAUGUGAUGUUACAUACUACGACAGUUACAUACAUGAUGUGAUGUUAGAUACUACGACAGUUACGUACAUGAUGUGAUGUUACAUGUAGGAAACCAAAGUUGUCAGUGAAUUAAAAAGAUUUGUAUUGUUUAUCUGGUGUCUCUCUGUUUAAUGGCCAAGAAGGAUAUUUGCAGAUUACUGCCCUGAGUUUACAAAACAUUAACGU